GUAAGAAGACUGGUGGUGCUGCUGGAAUAAAAGGAGUGAUGGAAGACAGAUGACGGUGUGAGGAGAAAAGAUUUGGUGAAUCACAGUUAUGUUUCCUGGCAUUAAAUCACCCUUGAAUAUUUCUAUAAUAAAUGAAAUUCAAUAGGGCCUGAAAAAGGGGGUCAACCAAGUACUGUGACUUUCACAAUAAAAUUUGUAUGUAACAACUGAGUUUCGUGAUGGACAGAAUGCUAGAAGAGGAUUGAGAAAAGAGCAGCCCAAAAGCCACCUGGAAAAUAACCAAAUAUCAAAAUUCACUGUAGGACAUUCCUCAUGGGGCCAUCUGAAAUCCUUCUUAUUUUAAUAUAUGUUGUAGUUACAUUUUUUAUAGUUCCCACCUAUCAAAUUUGUGAGAGCUAUUCGUACCUGAAGAGCAUUUGUUCUUCGAUCCACACUAUCAAAAUUUCAUGGAUUUCUGUCACAUUUUAAUUAUAAAAAGGAUUACUCUUGAAAUCUUACUACUUGAAUUGUUGUAAAUCCUUAUUUUCAUUGUCAAGAAAUUUGCAUUUCAUAUUAUUUAUUCAGAAAAGCAUGAUUCCAGUUGUAUAAAUGUCAUAUACAUGUAUAUAUCUAGUCAUUAAGAAAAAGACUGGAAGG
rnacentral:lncRNA from 1 species